rnacentral:siRNA from 1 species
CUGUUCCUCGCAAAUCUCUCGC